UACGUAUGGUGCGACCGUUGUUCGGAAUCACUGGGCAUAAAGAACACGUAGGCGGUUAAGCAAGUCCAUUGUGAAAUCCCCCGGCCUAACCGGGGAACUGCAUUGGAUACUACUUGACUUGAGUGCAGGAGGGGAGAGUGGAAUUCCAGGUGGAGCGGUGAAAUGCGUAGAUAUCUGGAGGAACGCCGGCGGCGAAAGCGACUCUCUGGUCUGUAACUGACGCUGAGGUGCGAAAGCUAGGGGAGCAAACGGG
rnacentral:rRNA from 1 species